rnacentral:rRNA from 1 species
UACGUAGGGUGCGAGCGUUAAUCGGAAUUACUGGGCGUAAAGCGUGCGCAGGCGGUUUUGCAAGCCGGAUUUGAAAUCCCCGGGCUCAACCUGGGAAUGGCAUUUGGGACUGCAAGGCUCGAGUGCGGCAGAGGAGACAGGAAUUCCUGGUGUAGCAGUGAAAUGCGUAGAUAUCAGGAGGAACACCGAUGGCGAAGGCAGGUCUCUGGGCUGACACUGACGCUCAUGCACGAAAGCGUGGGGAGCAAACAGG